ACUCGUUGAAUCCCACCUGCAGCGGCGUCAUACAGAUGAUUAACAAAGCGUAUAAUCGCGCGUUUACGAUUGCUACUCCAGGCUUACAGCUGAUGUGGACGUCACUCUCACUGAACUGGUUUAUUCAUCCCGUUUUUCGCAACGUAAUCAACGGUGUUGAGCAGCGCGCAAACAAGAAAACGAAAUCCGUUGCAAAUGCUAAGACCAACGCGUGCGAGUAUUAAGAAAUGCGUUGGCGCAAACAUGCCAGGAACUGCGUGAGCGGUGUGAUGCCUUGGCUGACGCUAUGUGGAGCUCCCAGAAUGAUCAUUAGCUCAGUAAUUUACCCUGGCCAACGACCAACGAAGAUUACGCUCCAUAUCGAGUGUUAGCCGACAAAAACUUCCGCAUGAAUAAUGCAACGGCACUCUGCAAAAAAGACUUGAUAGCCCCUUGCCCCGACGAUCCACACAUACUGGCGUUCUACGAUAUGUACAGCCCAUCCUCAAUUGAGUGGUCUUUAUCCUGGGUGGCAUUAUGCCAGGACGGCAUCAACCCGCUUCGAUAUUACCGCGCCGAACGCUACUCUGGCCAGCUCUCCAGCGAUGUAGAGUUCAAGUUGCACUAUGAGCUGGAACUAAUUCUUGGCCAGCGAAAUGUCACCAAUGCAAAAAGUGGAAUCUGUCAGUAAGUGUCUCCUUUCCUGGCAUGUUGGUUGAUACAGUUUUAGCGAGAAAUUUUGGUGAAUGUCUGCUUAAUUGUGUACUCAUCUGGACGAUGGCGUGAAACGUUUGGAAGGUCCACUGAACGCGACGUUGUCCAGUGUAUGCAGAUCGGACACGGUGCACACUGCACACUAUGCGCGAUGGGUAUCGGAUGCGG